GUGGGGAAUAUUGGACAAUGGGCGAAAGCCUGAUCCAGCAAUGCCGCGUGAGUGAGGAAGGCCUUAGGGUUGUAAAGCUCUUUCGGCGGGGACGAUGAUGACGGUACCCGCAGAAGAAGCCCCGGCUAACUUCGUGCCAGCAGCCGCGGUAAUACGAAGGGGGCGAGCGUUGUUCGGAUUUACUGGGCGUAAAGGGCGCGCAGGCGGUCAUUUUUGUCGAGUGUGAAAGCCCCGGGCUUAACCUGGGAACUGCGCUCGAAACGGGAUGACUAGAGAUCGGGAGAGGAGAGUGGAAUUCCCAGUGUAGAGGUGAAAUUCGUAGAUAUUGGGAAGAACACCGGUGGCGAAGGCGGCUCUCUGGACCGAUACUGACGCUGAGGCGCGAAAGCGUGGGGAGCAAACAGGAUUAGAAACCCUGGUAGUCC
rnacentral:rRNA from 1 species